rnacentral:lncRNA from 1 species
UCCUAAGGGUUUACAGAAGAUAUACCCAUAAAAUCUUCGAAACAUUCUAGCAAGUGUCUACUCGACUCUACUCUAAUUUCGUUGGUGUUAACAAAAAGCGUUUUUAAGGAAAAUACGACUUAAAGACUCAUCUACUAAUAAUCAAGAUACAGUUGUCUCUAAUCUACUUGCAUCGACACAAAGAUUUACUAGAAAUCCAAGGAGUGUAAGUAAUUUAAGGCCUUUGAUGGAUCCUAAUUGUCUAAGAACACUUU